GUGGGGAAUCUUCCGCAAUGGACGAAAGUCUGACGGAGCAACGCCGCGUGAGUGAAGAAGGUUUUCGGAUCGUAAAGCUCUUUCGUUAGGGACGAACGUGCUCUUUGUGAAUAAUGAGGAGUAAUGACGGUACCUAAAUAAGAAGCCACGGCUAACUACGUGCCAGCAGCCGCGGUAAUACGUAGGUGGCAAGCGUUGUCCGGAAUUAUUGGGCGUAAAGCGCGCGCAGGCGGGAUAUCAAGUCUGUCUUAAAAGUGCGAGGCUCAACCUCGUGAGGGGACAGAAACUGGUAUUCUUGAGUGUCGGAGAGGAAAGUAGAAUUCCAAGUGUAGCGGUGAAAUGCGUAGAGAUUUGGAAGAACACCAGUGGCGAAGGCGACUUUCUGGACGAUGUCUGACGCUGAGGCGCGAAAGCUAGGGGAGCGAACGGGAUUAGAAACCCGUGUAGUCC
rnacentral:rRNA from 1 species